GGUAACCCCCGCUCCAGUGUCCCGGAGGCUUAGCCGCCAGGGGUCAGAUCCACCUGGACACUUAAAGACUCACUACACAAAGUCCGGUGAGCAGGAACCUCCGACCCCUGAAAGAAUGGAUAAAUUUGACCUGAUUAAGAUCAUUGGGGAAGGCGCCUAUGGGAAAGUGUACUUGGCGAAACGGAAAACGGAAAGCAGUCAGUGUGUCAUAAAAGAGACUGAUUUUACAAAGGAAAAAGAAGCUUCAAAGAAAGAAGUGGUCCUUCUGGCUCAGAUGAGGCAUCCCAACAUUGUAACCUUCUUUGGUUCAUUUCAAGAGAAUAACAGGCUCUUUAUUGUAAUGGAAUACUGUGACGGAGGGGAUCUCAUGCAGAGGAUCCAGAGGCAGAGGGGAGUGUUAUUCAGUGAAGAUCAGAUUCUGUGCUGGUUCGUACAGAUUUCGCUAGGACUGAAGCACAUUCACGACAGGAAGAUACUACAUAGGGACAUAAAAUCCCAGAACAUUUUUCUUAGCAAGAACGGGAUGGUGGCAAAGCUUGGGGACUUUGGAACGGCAAGGGCACUGAAUAAUUCCAUGGAACUUGCUCAAACAUGUGCUGGGACACCUUACUACCUGUCCCCAGAGAUUUGUCAGAACAGACCAUACAACAACAAAACGGAUAUUUGGUCUCUUGGAUGUGUCUUAUACGAGCUCUGCACACUCAAGCAUCCUUUUGAGAGUAACAACUUACACCAUCUUGUUCUGAAGAUUUGUCAAGGUCGUGUCGCUCCCAUAUCACCCCACUUUUCUCCUGACCUACAGUCCUUGAUACCUCAGCUCUUUAAAGUGUGUCCUCAGGAUCGACCAUCUGUUAACUCUCUUUUGAAAAGGCCUUUUUUAGAAACUCUUAUUGCCCGACACUUCUCUCCUGAGGUCCAUUCAAGAAGAAUUGAGUCCCAUGCUUAUAUGCAGAACGCGGCUAUUGGUCUCGCAUCUCGCUGGGGAGGUAGUCCAUGGUCUGCUGCAUACCUUCAGAGGAGACUUGAAGCUCAGCAGUAUAAGUUAAAAGUGGAAAGACAAUUGGGUCUUCGUCCAUCUUCUGCUGAGCCACAUCCCAACGAGAGAGAAAACUUACAAAGCCACAGAGAGGAGACUAAACUCCAGGAGCUUCAGUAUAGGAAGAACAAAAUGAAGGACCAGGAAUAUUGGAAACAGCUGGAGGAAAUCCGCCAACAGUACCACAGUGAUAUGAAGGAAAUUAAAAAGAGGAUGGGGCGAGAGCUGAAGGAGAAUGCAGACCUCAGUCAUAAAACCUAUUUGGUGAAGAGGAGUCACCUGCCUGCCCACCCUGACGUUCCUGAGGAAGAGGCCUCGGCGCAGAGAGGAGUAAAGUUUGAAAUUAGCCUAGAUAAAUGUAUUUCUGAGGAUGACAACAUCCAAGAGAAUGAGGUAAUGGAUAAACUAAAUGACACUUUGAGCUUUGAAGAUGGCGUGAAGUUUCAGGAGUACAGACCUAUAAAGGAGCAUGAAGAUUACACAGACAGAGCCAUUGAAGAACUCUGUGGCCCAGAAGCAGGUACAUGUUGCUUGAAAGUAGGGGAGGAAAGGGGAAUUUUUCAUUGCAGUCAUCUCCAACUCUCUCCAUUGCACUCUUGGUUCUUUCCCUGCACACACUCUUCAUUUAGCAUUACACACACACACACACACACACACGCGCGCGCGCACACACACACACACACACACACAGAGCAAGUACCUCAACCUCAGCGUGUGUCCUCCUCCUUCCCAGAGACCUUUGCUUCAGAUCAAGGCAUUGCUCCUUCUCCACACGCAGGGCAUCUCCUCCUCAGACAUACUACUGAAUUUUUCCUCUGCCUCCAUGUCUUCUGCUGCUAGGUAGGACUCUAUCACUCUUGAGCACUGUGGCGACAUAGGAAACCAUGCAUAAUCCAGGGUUCUGGAGCCAGUGGUAGUCUGAAUCCUAGCUAGCACUGGGGUUUCUGGUCAUGGGGCAUUUCCUCUUUUGCAAGUUACUUUUAUGUUCUAAAUCCCCUUUUUCCUCUUUGAGGCAUAGGAAACAGCAGUAAUAAUAACCACACAGGUUACAGGGUUGCUGUAGUAAUAAGAGUGAUAAAGGAUAUGUACAAGGUACCUGCCUAAAUGAUAAGUGUCUAAUAAAUAAUCUUUCCUUAAUAAAAAAUGAUUGAUUGAUUGAUUGAUUAACUUUUAUACAUGUGUGCCUGCAGGGGGUUUUGCGCACCUCUUGCAUGAAGGUGCUGGUGGAGGCCAGAGACAGAUCCCCUGGAAUUACAGGAGGUUGUGAGCCACCUGAUGUGGGAACCCAGAGGCAAGGCAGCAGGAGUGUGAAGCCUCUCGACACACCACAUCUACACUCAGAAGCAGGUGUAGCUGCUGCUCAGAUCACUUUCUCUACUCAAAUAUAAUCAGGAGCCAAACCUAAAGAGCUGUGUUGCCCACAGUAUGCAGAGUUCUUCCACAUCAAUUGAGGAAAUAAAGAAGGUUCCCAACAGACAUGCCCAGACCCAGACAGUCCCUUGCUGAGGCUCUAUUCCACUUGAUUCUUCAUCAUAUCAAAUAGACAAUUAAAACUAAACAUUGCAUUGGGAAAAAUAUGAAAUCUGAUCCUAAACAAUGAUACUACAAAACAAAAUUUAAAAAAAAUUACAUGUAAGAUUACAUAUUUAAAAAUGAAGUAAAAGAAUGUGUAUAUACAUAUUUUCUUAAAUAGGGAAGAACUGGUUCUUCUUUUUUUAAUUAAUUUUUAUUGAGCACUACAUUUUUCUCUGCUCCCCUCCCUUCUUCUCCCCUACCCUUCAACCAUCUCCCGAGGUACCUAUGCUCCCAAUUUACUCAGGAGAUCUUGUGUUUUCUACUUCCCAUGUAGAUUAGAUCUAUGUAAGUCUCUCUUAGAGUCCUCAUUGUUGUCUAGGUUCUCUGGGGUUGUGAUUUCUAGGCUGAUUUUCUUUGCUUUAUGUUUAAAGUAUGAAUGAGUACAUGUGAUAAUUGUCUUUCUGUGUCUGGGUUACCUCACUCAAAAUGAUGUUUUCUAGCUCUACCCAUUUGCCUGCAAAAUUCAAGAUGUCAUUAUUUUUUUCUGCUGUGUAGUACUCCAUUGUGUAAAUAUACCACAUUUUCCUUAUCCAUUCUUCCGUAAAGGGGCAUUUAGGUUGUUUCCAGGUUCUGGCUAUGACAAACAAAGCUGCUAUGAACAUAGUUGAGCACAUGUCGUUGUGGCACAAUUGAGCAUCCUUUGGAUAUACACCCAAAAGUGGUAUUACUGGGUCUUGAGGUAGGUUGUUUCCUAAUUUUCUGAGAAAUCGCCCUACUGAUAUCCAAAGGUGCUGUACCAGCUUGCAUUCCCACCAGCAAUGCAGGGUGUUCCCCUUACCCCACAACCUCUCCAGCAUAAGUUGUCAUCAGUGUUUUUGAUCUUGGCCAUUCUUACAGAUGUAAGAUGGAAUCUCAGAGUUGUUUUGAUUUGCAUUUCUCUGAUGACUGAGGAUGUUGAGCAUUUCCUUAGGUGUCUUUCAGCCAUUUUAGAUUCCUCUGUUGAGAAUUCUCUGUUUAGGUCUGUACUCCAUUUUUUUUUUUUUACUUGUUCUUUUGAUGACCAAUUUCUUGAGUUCUUUGUAUAUUCUGGAGAUCAGACCUCUGUCUGAUGUGGGGUUGGUGAAGAUCUUUUCCCAUUCUGUAGGCUGCCAUUUUGUCUUGUUGAUCAUGUCCUUUGCUUUACAAAAGCUUUUCAGUUUCAGGAGGUCCCAUUUAUUGAUUGUGAGCACCCCACCUAUGAUGCCAUCCCUGGGCAGUGGUUUUGGGAGGCAGAAGGAAGGGGACUGAAUGUGAGCUGAGAACAGCACUCUUCCAUGGCCUCUGCUUCAGUGCCUGCCUGGAGCUCCUGCCGUGACUUCCUUUGUGAGGAAGUAUUUCAUGCUAGGGCUGCCACUUUUCUGAGAUGGUCUCUGUGGAGAACAGGCGGAGGUGGGAUGCCCGAGCACCUCAGACUCUGCUGCAAAUAAUGGCGACAGCGGAUGUCAUCUCCACCUGCCCCACCAUGCCUGAGG